rnacentral:rRNA from 1 species
GCAUAUCAAUAAGCGGAGGAAAAGAAACUAACAAGGAUUCCCCUAGUAACGGCGAGUGAAGCGGGAAGAGCUCAAAUUUGUAAUCUGGCACCUUCGGUGUCCGAGUUGUAAUCUCGAGAAGUGUUUUCCGCGUCGGACUGCAUACAAGUCUAUUGGAAUAUAGCGUCAUAGUGGUGAGAGCCCCGUAACUGAUGCAGAUGCCCGAUGCUUUGUGAUACACUUUCGAAGAGUCGAGUUGUUUGGGAAUGCAGCUCAAAUUGGGUGGUAAAUUCCAUCUAAAGCUAAAUAUUGGCGAGAGACCGAUAGCGAACAAGUACCGUGAGGGAAAGAUGAAAAGCACUUUGGAAAGAGAGUUAACAGUACGUGAAAUUGUUGGAAGGGAAACGCUUGAAGUCAGACUUGCUAUUUGGAAUUCAGCCGCAAGGUGUACUUUUCAAUUUGCAGGCCAGCAUCAGUUUUUGGGGGUGGAAAAGGGUUGAGAAAAGGUAGCAGUUUCGGCUGUGUUAUAGUUCUUGGCUGGAUUCAUCUUUGGGGACUGAGGAACGCAAAGUGCCGCAAGGCAAUUCUCUCGAGGAUUUCACACUUAGGAUGCUGGUGGAAUGGCUUUAAACGACCCGUCUUGAAACACGGACCAAGGAGUCUAACAUGCUUGCGAGUGUUUGGGUGUCAAACCCGGACGCGCAAUGAAAGUGAAUGGAGGUGGGAUCCGCAAGGAGCACCAUCGACCGAUCCGGAUUUUUUAAGAUGGAUUUGAGUAAGAGCAAUUAUGUUGGGACCCGAAAGAUGGUGAACUAUGCCUGAAUAGGGCGAAGCCAGAGGAAACUCUGGUGGAGGCUCGUAGCGGUUCUGACGUGCAAAUCGAUCGUC